AUUCCUUGUCGGGUAAGUUCCGACCUGCACGAAUGGAGCAACGACCUCUCCGCUGUCUCUACUAUGAACUCGGCGAAAUUGCACUACGAGUAAAGAUGCUCGUUACGCGCGGCAGGACGAAAAGACCCCGGGACCUUCACUAUAGCUUGGUAUUGGUGUUUGGUUCGGUUUGUGUAGGAUAGGUGGGAGACUUGGAAGCUAUCACGCUAGUGGUGGUGGAGUCGUUGUUGAAAUACCACUCUGAUCGGAUUGAGCAUCUAACCUUGGCCCAUGAUCUGGGUUGGGGACAGUGCCUGGUGGGUAGUUUAACUGGGGCGGUUGCCUCCCAAAAUGUAACGGAGGCGCCCAAAGGUUCCCUCAGCCUGGUUGGCAAUCAGGUGUCGAGUGCAAGUGCACAAGGGAGCUUGACUGUGAGACCGACGGGUCGAGCAGGAGCGAAAGCUGGGACUAGUGACCCGGCACCGGCAUGUGGAAGCGGUGUCGCUCAACGGAUAAAAGGUACCCCGGGGAUAACAGGCUGAUCUUCCCCAAGAGUCCAUAUCGACGGGAUGGUUUGGCACCUCGAUGUCGGCUCGUCGCAUCCUGGG
rnacentral:rRNA from 1 species